GAUGAACGCUGGCGGCGUGCCUAAUACAUGCAAGUCGAGCGAACAGAUGAGGAGCUUGCUCCUCUGACGUUAGCGGCGGACGGGUGAGUAACACGUGGAUAACCUACCUAUAAGACUGGGAUAACUUCGGGAAACCGGAGCUAAUACCGGAUAAUAUAUUGAACCGCAUGGUUCAAUAGUGAAAGACGGUUUUGCUGUCACUUAUAGAUGGAUCCGCGCCGCAUUAGCUAGUUGGUAAGGUAACGGCUUACCAAGGCAACGAUGCGUAGCCGACCUGAGAGGGUGAUCGGCCACACUGGAACUGAGACACGGUCCAGACUCCUACGGGAGGCAGCAGUAGGGAAUCUUCCGCAAUGGGCGAAAGCCUGACGGAGCAACGCCGCGUGAGUGAUGAAGGUCUUAGGAUCGUAAAACUCUGUUAUUAGGGAAGAACAAAUGUGUAAGUAACUAUGCACGUCUGGACGGUACCUAAUCAGAAAGCCACGGCUAACUACGUG
rnacentral:rRNA from 1 species